ACAAUUAUAAUGGUAAUUCUCAGGGUAUGCUGGAAGGAGAACAAUAAAUAGCUGUGAAGCGGCUAUCAAAGAAUUCUAGCCAAGGACUUGACGAGUUCAAGAAUGAAGUUAUUUGUAUUACCAAGCUUCAGCACCGAAAUCUCGUGAAGCUUCUAGGAUGUUGCAUUCAAGGAGAAGAAAAGAUGUUAAUCUAUGAAUACAUGCCCAACAAAAGCCUGGACUACUUUAUUUUCGAUCAAACCCGAAGCACACUACUGGAUUGGCCAAAGCGCUUCCACAUUAUUAAUGGGAUUUCCCGAGGCCUUCUUUAUCUUCAUCAAGAUUCCAGGCUGAGAAUUAUUCACAGAGAUCUUAAAGCAAGCAAUAUUUUGCUAGAUAUUGACAUGAA